CAAAUUCCUCCUUUGGGAAACCUCAGCUUUCAACUGAUUGGACGAGGCCCACCCACAUUAUGGGAGAGAAAAUGACCGGAAGCAGUAUCUUCUUGACUCAUGUUGAGUGAAAGCAGUGGGCACCACGGAUUGGACCAGGGAUCAAGAGGCAAAUCUGUGGUGUGGCUAUUUAAAAAAGAGAAAUGUUCUUUCUCUUGUGAAACUUGGCUUUCCGGAUUCGAAAUUUGUUUCAUGUUGGACAAUUCGAUCGUUUGUGAAAAACCAGUAGUCAAGGAGAAGAUGUUGCUUC